UAGCGUAUAUUAAAGUUGUUGCAGUUAAAAAGCUCGUAGUCGGAUUUCAGGGCGGGGCUGCCGGUCUGCCGAUGGGUAUGCACUGGUGGGCUCGUUCUUCCUUCUGGGGACUGCGCCUACUCUUGACUGAGCGGGCGUAGGAAACAGGACUUUUACUUUGAAAAAAUCAGAGUGUUUAAAGCAGGCCAAGAUGCUCUUGCAUGUUAUAGCAUGGGAUAAUGGAAUAGGACUUUGGUGCUAUUUUGUUGGUUUCGAACACCGAAGUAAUGAUUAAUAGGGACAGUCAGGGGCACUCGUAUUCCGUUGAGAGAGGUGAAAUUCUUAGACCAAUGGAAGACGAACCACUGCGAAAGCAUUUG
rnacentral:rRNA from 1 species